AGGGAAGGCUCAGGUAGGAAAAGAACGGAGGAGGGAACCCUGGUGGGGGGAGAAGGGAGCCUGCAGGCUCAGGGGUCAGAGUUAGGGGGUUUCUCCCCUGCUGCACCCUCAUCCUAGGGCCGCCAACUUCCCGCCGCGGCGGCGACUUUCAGUUUCAUUUCUACGAACCCUCCUGCCUGGGCCGCAGUCGCCGCCGCGAUGCCCAGUAAGUUCAGCUGCCGGCAGCUUCGGGAGACGGGCCAGAGAUUCGAGAAUUUCCUGGUCGAUCGGGGACUGGACAGGGAGACAGAUCGCGAGCGGUUGCGGACCAUUUAUAACCAGGACUUCAAGACCAGCUUUGGGACCCCCGCCCCUGGCUUCUCCUCCAUGCUGUAUGGAAUGAAGAUUGCCAACCUGGCCUACGUCACCAAGACCCGGGUCAGGUUCUUCGGGCUCGACCGUUGGGCCGACGUGUGGUUCCCAGAAAAGAGGAGAAUGAAGCCGGGGUCGGAGAUCAGCAAACACCACAAGUCGCUGCUGGCCACGAUCUUUUAUGACAGGACCGAGUAUCUUCACGGGAAACAUGGGGUGGACGUGGAGGUCCAGGGGCCCCAUGAAGCCCGAGAUGGGCAGCUCCUUAUCCGCCUGGAUUUGAACCGCAAGGAGGUGCUGACCCUGAGGCUUCGGAAUGGAGGAACCCAGCCUGUCACCCUCACCCACCUCUUCCCAUUCUGCCGGACCCCCCAGUUUGCCUUCUGCAAUGGAGACCGGGAGCUGCCCUGCCCACUGGGCCCUGGUGAAUGCUAUGAGCUCCAUGUCCACUGUAAGACCAGCUUUGUGGGCUACUUCCCAGCCACCGUGCUCUGGGAGCUGCUAGGACCUGGGGAGCCAGGCUCAGAAGGAGCUGGUACUUUCUACAUUGCCCGCUUCUUGGCCGUCGUGGCCCACAGCCCCCUGGCAGCACAACUGAAGCCCACGACUCCCUUCAAGCGGACCCAGAUCACGAGAAACCCUGUGGUGACCAACCGGAUAGAGGAAGGAGAGAGACCCGACCGUGCUAAGAGCUAUGACCUGGAGUUAAGUAUGGCACUGGGAACAUACUACCCACCCCCCCGCCUCCGGCAGCUGCUCCCCAUCCUUCUUCAGGGAACAAGUAUCUUCACUGCCCCAAAGGAGAUUGCUGAGAUCAAGGCCCAGCUGGAGACACCCCUGAAGUGGAGGAACUACGAGGUGAAGCUCCGGCUGCUGCUGCACCUGGAGGAGCUGCAGAUGGAGCAUGACAUCCGGCACUAUGACCUGGAGUCGGUGCCUAUGACCUGGGACCCCGUAGACCAGAAUCCCAGGCUGCUCACGCUGGAGGUUCCCGGGGUGGCCGAGAGCCGCCCCUCAGUGCUGCGGGGUGACCACCUAUUUGCCCUUUUGUCCUCUGAGACACACCAGGAGGACCCCGUCACCUACAAGGGCUUUGUGCACAAGGUGGAACUGGACCGGGUCAAGCUGAGUUUUUCCACAGGCCUCCUGAGCCGCUUUGUGGAUGGGCUGACCUUCAAGGUGAACUUCACCUUCAACCGCCAGCCCCUGCGGGUGCAGCACCGUGCCUUGGAGCUGACGGGGCGCUGGCCGCUGUGGCCCCUGCUUUUCCCUGUGGCCUCUCGUGGGGUCCCGCUGCUGCCCUCAGAUGUGAAGCUCAAGCUGUACGACCGGAGUCUGGAAUCCAACCCGGAGCAGCUGCAGGCCAUGAAGCACAUUGUUAUGGGUACCACCCGCCCCGCCCCGUACAUCAUCUUUGGGCCUCCAGGCACUGGCAAGACUGUCACCUUAGUGGAAGCCAUCAAGCAGGUGGUGAAGCACUUGCCCAAAGCCCACAUCCUGGCCUGUGCUCCGUCCAACUCGGGGGCCGACCUCCUCUGUCAACGCCUCCGGGUCCACCUGCCCAGCUCCAUCUACCGCCUCCUGGCUCCCAGCAGGGAUAUCCGUAUGGUGCCUGAGGACAUCAAGCCCUGCUGUAACUGGGAUGCAAAGAAGGGGGAUUACGUGUUUCCUUCCAAGAAGAAGCUGCAGGAAUAUCGUGUGUUAAUUACCACGCUCAUCACUGCCAGCAGGUUGGUCUCGGCCCAGUUUCCCAUCGAUCACUUCACACACAUCUUCAUCGAUGAGGCUGGCCACUCCAUGGAGCCAGAGAGCCUGGUGGCCAUAGCAGGGCUGAUGGAAGUCAAGGAAGCAGACAAUCCAGGAGGGCAGCUGGUGCUGGCAGGAGACCCUCGGCAGCUGGGGCCUGUGCUGCGCUGCCCACUGACCCAGAAGCAUGGGCUGGGGUACUCACUGCUGGAGCGGCUGCUCACCUACAAUGCCCUGUACAAGAAGGGCCCUGAUGGCUAUAACGCCCAGUUCAUAACCAAGCUGCUACGCAACUACAGGUCUCACCCCACCAUCCUGGACAUUCCUAACCAGCUGUAUUAUGAAGGGGAGCUGCAGGCCUGUGCGGACAUUGUGGACCGAGAGCGCUUCUGCCGCUGGGAGGGUCUGCCUCGACAGGACUUUCCCAUCAUCUUUCACGGCGUAAUGGGCAAGGAUGAGCGUGAAGGCAACAGCCCAUCCUUCUUCAACCCCGAAGAGGCUGCCACGGUGACUUCCUACCUGAAGCAGCUCCUGGCCCGCUCCUCCAAGAAGGGCAAAGCCCGUCUGAGCCCCCGAAGUGUGGGCGUCAUCUCUCCAUACCGGAAGCAGGUGGAAAAAAUUCGUUACUGCAUCACCAAACUUGACAAGGAGCUUCGGGGACUGGAUGACAUCAAGGACUUGAAGGUGGGCUCCGUGGAAGAGUUUCAAGGCCAGGAGCGCAGCGUCAUCCUCAUCUCCACCGUGCGGAGCAGCCAGAGCUUUGUGCAGCUGGAUCUGGACUUUAACCUGGGUUUCCUCAAGAACCCCAAGAGGUUCAACGUGGCUGUGACCCGGGCCAAGGCUUUGCUCAUCGUGGUGGGCAACCCGCUCCUGCUGGGCCACGACCCCGACUGGAAAGUGCUCCGGAUGCACAGGCUCAGCGGCCAUGGCUCACGGGCCCAGCCGCUCCGCGGCACGUGGGAUCCUCCCAGACCGAGGCACGAACCCGUGUCCCCUGCAUCGGCAGGCGGACUCUCAACCACUGCGCCACCAGGGAAGCCCCAAUGUUUAUCUUAACAAUAUCCCCAUUUGCCAAGGUUAAGUAACUUGCCCCAAGGCACAGGCCCCAUGUGCAGGACCAAGGCUGGGCCUCCAGCCUCUGCUGGUACUCAGCCAGCCUUGUGCAGCUGUGUGUGUGGAUGUCCCUGUACCCCACAGAUUCCUAGAGUUCUGUAAAGAAAACGGGGGGUAUACCGGGUGCCCCUUCCCUGCCAAACUGGACCUGCAGCAGGGGCAGAACUUACUCCAGGGUCUGAGCAAACUCAGCCCCUCUACCUCAGGACCCAAAAGUCACGACUGCCAGGCGCG